rnacentral:tRNA from 1 species
GCAGCCGGCCGAGGGCUCACGCAUCCCCGGCAUCCGCAAAUGGCCCGAGGCCUAUCUGCCCAAGAUCUACGACC